AGAGUUUGAUCCUGGCUCAGGAUGAACGCUAGCUAUAGGCUUAACACAUGCAAGUCGAGGGGAAACGGCAGAGAGUGCUUGCACACUUUGGACGUCGACCGGCGCACGGGUGAGUAACGCGUAUCCAACCUGCCCUUUACUUGGGGAUAACCCGUUGAAAGACGGACUAAUACCCAAUGAUAUUCAUUGAUGACAUCUGAUUUGAAUUAAAGAUUUAUCGGUAUAGGAUGGGGAUGCGUCUGAUUAGCUUGUUGGUGAGGUAACGGCUCACCAAGGCAACGAUCAGUAGGGGUUCUGAGAGGAAGGUCCCCCACAUUGGAACUGAGACACGGUCCAAACUCCUACGGGAGGCAGCAGUGAGGAAUAUUGGUCAAUGGACGAGAGUCUGAACCAGCCAAGUAGCGUGCAGGAUGACGGCCCUAUGGGUUGUAAACUGCUUUUGUUUGGGAAUAAUCGACAUUACGUGUAAUGUUUUGCAUGUACCAUUCGAAUAAGGACCGGCUAAUUCCGUGCCAGCAGCCGCGGUAAAAGGG
rnacentral:rRNA from 1 species